rnacentral:misc_RNA from 1 species
CCGAAAUACCGUCAAAAUGGCCCGUCGUCCCGCGAGAUGUUACCGCUACUGCAAGAACAAGCCGUACCCUAAGUCGCGCUUCAACCGUGGUGUACCCGACCCCAAGAUUCGCAUCUUCGAUCUCGGUCGCAAGAAGGCCAACGUCGACGAGUUCCCUCUCUGCGUCCACCUCGUCUCCAACGAGUAUGAGCAGGUCUCCUCUGAGGCCCUCGAGGCUGCCCGUAUUUGCG